rnacentral:ribozyme from 1 species
GGAAAAAGAACAUCAGCACCACCUCAUACAGAUCGUCAAGAUGUCAUCGUUGCACAAACACAGGGAAGGAAACAUUGGAGGGUAUACUCGCCACCUGAUCCUACAUUAAGGCCA